ACAAACUAAAAGCAUGACAUUUUAUCAUAAAGACUAUAAAUACAAGAUGCAAAGGGCUAUAAUAUGUGUUUGAAGCUAAACAUAGGAGUCAAAGAACAAAUUCCCUGGAAGAAAGAGAGGAGGGAUCUAUACAAAUGGUGGAUUUCUGUGUAGUCUGAGGAAGAUUUUGACCAUGUGGUUAUUCUUUACUAAGUUUUGCCCCUAACAGGAAAGAUGGCCAUGGACUUCAACAGUCAUAAUUAUAUCCAUACUUUCUGAUCAAGGAGAUGAGCUGAUUUGCAGAAAUAUAAAUCUUGGAGAUCCAAAUCAUCAUAAAAGUUUUGGAAGAUUCACUGUACUUUGGAUGAGGUCCUGAAUCUUAGGCUUGAUCUUCAGUUCACCUGAGAAUGUGCAAUGGAUAUACAUUCUGCACUACAGAUCUGUGAAGUCUCAAGUUUAUGAAAUAAAAGAAUAUGUUCAUGGAAGGUAAAGAUCCAAAAAGAAUGGAACUAGAUUCUGCUGGAAGAAUUGGGAUUACAACAAACAACGAGAAGUGAAGAAGAGACAGGAUGUUGAAAUCUGUGAAGGAGAACUGCUAACAAAAUAAGAUGAUGACACACAGGGUAGCUUUAAGGAAGUAAGCUCACAGACCUGGUGUGCUAUACUAGUUUAAACAACAAGAAGGAAAACAACUAGACUAGAAGGACAAAAGCAAUAAAAAUGACUAAUGCUUCAUUUCUGCCUUCAUUGUUGAGAGAUUUUGAUAUAUAGAGAAGGAUGACAACAUAAAGAUGAGCUCGUUGUUUUAAUCUUCUCUGGCAGCCUGAAUUCUCACAUCACUUAACCUUACAUCCAUAAGCCUCAUAGUGAGAAUUAGGGGAGUAAAAUACUCCCCACUAUAAGGGUAGAGCAAGUUCAAGAUAGACUCAUGAGUCAGCACGGCUUCACCAAAGGAUGAUCAAGUCUGAUCAGUCUGGUGGCCUUCUAUGGUGAAUUGACAGUGGAUAAAAGGAAGGCAACAGAUGUCAUCUACCUGGACUUCUGAAAAAUCUUUGAUAUGGUCUCCCACCACACUCCUAUAUCUGAAUUGAAGAAAUAUGGAUUUGAAGAGUGGAUUAUUUGGUGGAUAAGGAAUUGGUUGGAUAUACAUAGCCAGAGGGUUGUGGCCAAUGGUUCUAUGUCCAUAUGUCUCUAUGUCUCUAUGUCUCUAUAUGGUGGAGGCCAGUGAUGAGUGCUGUCCCCCAGAGGUCUGUCUUGGAACUGAUACUCCUUAACAUUUUUAUCAAUUAUGUAGAUGAUGAGGGAUGUACAGAAGGGUGAGGGAGGUGACUGUUCCUCUCUACCCUGUUCUCAUGAGGCCCUCUCUGGAGUAUUGCAUCCAGGUCUGGAAUCCCUGCGCGAGGAAAGAUGUGGAGCAUUUGAAGAGUGUACAGAGGAAGGCCACAAAGACGAUGCAAGGGCUGGAGCAUCUCUCCUAUGAAGAUAGGCUGAAGGAACUGGGUUUGUCCAGUCUGGAGAAGAGAGUUCUGCGGAGGAGAUCUCAUUGUGGCUUUCCAGUAUUUAAGAGCUUGUUAUAAACAGGAAGGAAAUCAACUUUUUACAUGGUGAUAGUGAUAAAACAAGGGGAAAUUAUUUAAACUAGAGGAGGGAAAAUUUAGACUAGAUGUCAGGGGGAAGUUUUCCACUGAGAGGCUGGUGAGGUGCUGGAACAGGCUGCCCAGAGAGUUUGUGGAUGCCCUAUCCCUGGUAGUGUUUAAGGCCAGGUUGGAUGGGACCUUAGGCAACCUGAUCGAGUACUCAAUCAACUCUGCCUGCAUCAGGGGAGCUGGAACUUGAUAAUCCUUGAGGUCCCUCCUAAUACAAGCCAUUCUAUGUUAAGGCCUGGGAUUAAAUGAGCUGUUGUUUGACAGACCACAUUCUUCAAAAGAAUUCUCACAUUAACUUAGGAUUUCAUUAAAUUUUUUAUGCAACAAACAAUAAUGUCAGAGAAACAGUCAAUGAUCCUAAUUUUACUCUGUUCAGAAAUGAA